rnacentral:rRNA from 1 species
AUUGAACGCUGGCGGCAUGCCUUACACAUGCAAGUCGAACGGUAACAGGUCUUCGGAUGCUGACGAGUGGCGAACGGGUGAGUAAUACAUCGGAACGUGCCUAGUCGUGGGGGAUAACUACUCUAAAGAGUGGCUAAUACCGCAUUAGAUCUACGGAUGAAAGAAGGGGAUCGAAAGACCUUGUGCUACUAGAGCGGCCGAUUGCAGAUUAGGUAGUUGGUGGGAUAAAAGCUUACCAAGGCGACGAUCUGUAGCUGGUCUGAGAGGACGAUCAGCCACACUGGGACUGAGACACGGCCCAGACUCCUACGGGAGGCAGCAGUGGGGAAUUUGGACAAUGGGCGCAAGCCUGAUCCAGCAAUGCAGCGUGCAGGAUGAAGGCCUUCGGGUUGUAAACUGCUUUUGUACGGAACGAAAAGCCCCGGGUUAAUACCCUGGGGUCAUGACGGUACCGUAAGAAUAAGCACCGGCUAACUACGUGCCAGCCGCCGCCGUAA